UGCCCACAGGGGCGGUGACGUGUCUUGU
rnacentral:sRNA from 1 species